rnacentral:misc_RNA from 1 species
AAGGAGUCUAACAUAUCUGCGAGUAUUUGGGUGCCAAACCCGAGUGCGCAAUGAAAGUGAACGUAGGAGCCACGCGCAAGCUGCAGCUUCGACCGAUCUGGAUCUUAGUGAUGGAUUUGAGUAAGAGCAUAUAUGUAGGGACCCGGAAGAUGGUGAACUAUGCCUGAAUAGGGCGAAGCCAGAGGAAACUCUGGUGGAGGCUCGUAGCGAUUCUGACGUGCAAAUCGAUCGUCAAAUUUGGGUAUAGGGGCGGGAAACUGAUCGAACCAACUAGUAGCUGGUUCCUGC